rnacentral:misc_RNA from 1 species
AGCCGCUCUACCUCCUCGGCACUAGCGCCGCCCAGUAGGCCCCCACACACCGCCGAGCACUCAGCCAUCUCCCCGAAUUUCUUCUCCAACACCGUAACAACUCCAUCGCCAGCCACGGCACCUUGGAUAUCCAGAAACUGCCCCGCCGCCAUCCCGCUUGCCCCGACCGCCCUAGCAAUCUCGGCGAUGACGCCGAGGAUUGUCGCAGGCGGGACGGUAUCGGGAGUGUUGGCGACAAUGUGGG